AGGUUAACUUUGGCAACUACCAAGCUAUUGUGUCCUUUGUUAACAUUAAUAAUAUACACUGGAAGUUUCUGUACAUCAGUGCAGCAGAUGAAAAGAUGCACCGUGUGUAUUUGGUGGAUCCUUCAAGCAACGCUGCAGAGGAGGCAGAUUCAGAAGCUGCUGCUCAAAAAUUCCGGUUCUUAUGCAGUUUAGUUCAUUCAAUCUAAUCAUGUACACUGCAUCUAUGUAAUUGUAUAAAUUGUAGUAUUUUUGCACAUAUAUAAACAAUAAUUAUAUUUUAACAUUUCAUUGUCACACAGUGAAUACUUUCAGAUAAGGACUGUCCACCACCGUGAGAGAGAGUGGGCAGAUAUUGAAUUCACAGGAGCUGUUAUGCAACACCCAGUUCAGCAUGAUACAUAUAGCUGUGGUGUGAUGGUCAUGAUGAUGGCAAAGGCCUAACAUGGAAUUUGGGACUACUGAAGACGAAAUGGCAGAGGAACGCACAGCUAUGGCACUUGAACUACUUGAGGCUUCAGUGUUUGAUGCAGAGAACAAUUGUUCCAUGUGUGCAAAAGAGGAAAGUCCAGGGUCUGCCCUUACUGACUGGAUUCGGUGCGACAGCUGUAACAGGUGGUUUCAUGUACCGUGUGUGGACAUGGACAAAAAACAGUUUGAACAUGCCAGAAAAGCUGCCUGGGAUUGCUGUUUGUGCAAAGCUUGAUCCAGAACUUAUUGUGUAUUUUCAUUUAUCAGAUU